ensembl:ncRNA F16A11.6 ncRNA
CGGCGAAAAACAGAAUAGUGAUACGACGAGGCUCCGACGUCUCACUACCCAUGUCUUUCAUCGUUCAGAGCAGACAACCUCUGUGUGUGAGCUAGUUUCAACACUGAGGUUUUGUUGGAAAGUACAGCGAAUACGGUAGAUGAAUAUGAC